CGCCACCCGUCUGGGGCCCGAAAGGAGGGAGCUUUCCCUCUGUCCCCCAGCCUUUGGACUGUCACCAAACAAGCCAUUCGUUCACCAAAUACUUUUUAAGCGCCUACCAUGUGCCUGACAAGGGAUAUGUAACGGUGAGAAAAACUAGGUGUGGUCCAGGCCCUUCAGGGACUCAGGGGCUCGUGGAAGAAGUGGAUAUUGAAGUACUUAUCACACAAAGGAGGAUAAAAGUACGAUAGCGAUAUCUACCACGAAGCUGUUGUUCCACACCAGAACCAAAUGAGCGCAAGAUCUGACAAAAAAAAAAGGUUCAUCUUUUAUUCUUCCAAACACUUUCAUUUAAAUCAAGAGGAUGGGAUGUGGUUAUUACUGUGUUUUUAGACAAAAUCAAUGGUUUCUGGCUCUGAGAUGUUGCAUACACCCUCUCAGUCCCUGUAUCCUGAGAUGGAGUCACCUGAGAAUCCACAGCAAGUCCUAACCAGGGAUGGGUCUGGGUGAUUAAGGAAGAUUGGCUUCAGAACUGGGCCAGGGGCACUGCUUUGCUUUUGCUGUUUUGAUCAGCUCUCUGCCUGCAGGAGACGAGGAAAACCAAUGGGAACAGAAACUCCUAGAGGGCAGAGGCAUGCCUGCCAUCUUCAUCAUUGCAUUACCAUCACCCAACACUAUCAGGGGACCUGCCCUGAUAAUCAGGAGAAAAUCAGCUUCCUGUUUGGAUACCCACUAGACAUUUGAAAUUCUACAAUGAACUCAUCAGGGAUGCAAAUGAAAGUGCCUCUGCAGAGACAGAAAACCCGCAAUCGAGCAUCAUCGACUCGCAGGGUGAACAAAAUGGUGAUAUCAGAAGAACAGAUGAAGUUACAAUCCACCAAGGAAACUGCACAUGUGGAGAGUCAGGGAGAGGAAGAGAAAGAAAAAGAGACAGAGAUCAGAGAGAGACACAGAAAGUGAGACUGGGGAGAGAGAUAGUAUAAAAUAGAGAGAGAGAGAGAGACCGUAAGAGAAGGGAGACAAAGAGAUAAAAGGUGCGAGUGAGCAGGUGAGGAGAAAGACUGAAAACGAUGAGAAACAGCAACUAAGACACAAAGGAGGUGGGAGACUGCCCGGGUGCCACAGCACCCACACCGUCCUCUUGCCCCCGUCACUUGGGUUAAAACCACCGGAAAUUCCACUAUUGCAAAUUUUGUAUUAAUCCUUGUAUAUCUGUCCUUUCUAUUUUUAGUCUACAGUUGUAUCCAGCAGCUCCAGAGAGACAGCGACCAGCAAGAAGGGGCCAUGAUGAUGGUGGUGGUUUUUUCAAAACGAAAAGGGGGAUAUGUAGGGAAAAGAAAGAGAGAUCAGACUCUUACAGACUCUUACUGUGUCUACAUAGAAAGGGAAGACAUAAGAGACUCCAUUUGGAAAAAGACCUGUACUUUAAACAAUUGCUUUGCUGAGAUGUUGUUAAUCUGUAGCUUUGCCCCAGCCACUUUGCCCCAACCACUUUGACCCAGUCUGGAGCUCACAAAAACAUGUGUUGUAUGAAAUCAAGGUUUAAGGCAUGUAGGGCUGUGCAGGAUGUGCCUUGUUAACCAAAUGUUUGCAAGCAGUAUACUUGGUAAAAGUCAUCACCAUUCUCUUGUCUCAAUAAACCAGGGGCACAAUGCACUGUGGAAAGCCGCAGGGACCUCUGCCCUUGAAAGCUGGGUAUUAUUCAAAGUUUCCCCCCAUGUGAUAGUCUGAAAUAUGGCCUCGUGGGAUGAGAAAGGCCUGACGGUCCCCUAGCCCGACACCCAUAAAAGGUCUGUGCUGAGGUGGAUUAGUCAAAGAGGAAAGACUCUUGCAUUUGAGAUAGAGGAAGGCCACUGUCUCCUGCCUGCCCCUGGGAACUGAAUGUCUCGGUAUAAAACACGAUUGUACAUUUGUUCAAUUCUGAGAUGGGAGAAAAACCGCCCUAUGGUGGGAGGUGAGACAUGUUUACAGCAAUACUGCCUUGAUAUUCUUUACUCCACUGAGAUGUUUGGGUGGAGAGAAACAUAAAUCUGGCUUACAUGCACGUUCAGUCAUAGUACCUU
rnacentral:lncRNA from 1 species